AACGAACGCUGGCGGCAGGCCUAACACAUGCAAGUCGAGCGAUGAAGCACCUUCGGGUGUGGGAUUAGCGGCGGACCGGGUGAGUAACGCGUGGGAACCUUCCCUGUGGUACGGAAUAGCUCCGGGAAACUGGAAUUAGUGCCGUAUACGCCCUUCCGGGGGAAAGAUUUAUCGCCAUAGGAUGGGCCCGCGUCGGAUUAGCUUGUUGGUAGGGUAAUGGCCUACCAAGGCAACGAUCCGUAGCUGGUCUUAGAGGAUGAUCAGCCACACUGGGACUGAGACACGGCCCAGGCUCCUACGGGAGGCAGCAGUGGGGAAUAUUGGACAAUGGGCGAAAAGCCUGAUCCAGCCAUGCCGCGUGAGUGACGAAGGCCUUAGGGUUGUAAAACUCUUUUGGCGGGGACGAUAAUGACGGUACCCGCAGAAUAAGCCCCGGCUAACUUCGUG
rnacentral:rRNA from 1 species